AGCCCUUUCCCUACGAUCUGGGGCUUUCAAAUGUGCAUUCGUGUAACUCUGGACUUAAAGGGGCAGAAGCCGGGGAAGGGGUGUUGGGGCGCAGGACUCCAGGGACACGCCACUCCGGGCCGGGCCUGGGAUGGAAAUCCUCCCCGGGGCGCCCCAGCUGCGAGUGUGGACGGACACCGGUCCCGACCUCGGUCCCUACCUGUCCCGGCGCUCACCUGGCGGCCUGCUCGGAGCUGAUCUUGAAUAGCCUGAAGCAGGUUCCGGCUAGAGAUUGAGGUCUAGCGGUGGCAGCGAAAGCGCAGAAUCCUGAUCACUAGACCACCAGGGUCCUCCCGUCUGCAGGGGCUUGCCUGGUGGCUCAGGCGGUGAAGAAUCUGCCUGCAAUGCAGGAGACCUGGGUUCGAUCCCUGAGUGGGGAAGAUCCCCUGGAGAAGGAUAUGGCAACCCACUCCAGUAUUCUUGCUUG